GCAGGCAGGUGGGGAGGAGGCACCCUGCACAGGUGCUCCCCUGGGCCGGCUGCUCAGGGAGCGUUGCAUAGCCUUGGUAAGUCCCUGGGCCAGACUCACUUGAGCUGGGCCUGACGAGGGGUGGGGAGGAGGCAGCUGGAGAAUGUAGCCUGUGGGGAGGCAAGAGGCAGAGACACCGGGACACCUGGGCUACUGCCAAGAGUCCAGCGUGUCUGGAGUAUGGAGUGAGGGGUGAGCAAGACGGAGGCCAAUGUGGAACCAAGGCAGCCUCCAGGAAGGCCCCAGAGGCCAGGCUGAGAGCUUACCUCAGCACAGGACACUGGGGGCUGUGGGGUGGCCUCAAGCUUCAGCAGAAGUGGUGGGUCUGAGUUUUAACAGAUCACUCAGUGUGGAGAACUGGAUGGAAGGAGAAAAGCCUGGAGCAAAAUGACCAGUGAGAGGGCUGGUGCAGUGCCCUGGGCCUGUGAGAGGUGGCCCGUGCCGGUGGAGACCAGUAGGAGAGGCAGAGAUGCUGCAGGCGCUGGAUCUGCAGAACACAGCUCAGCAACCAGCAGGGUCUUGAGCUGGAAACAGAGUCACAGUGGCCACUCGUGGAGGUGAAGAAAGAGGAGCAACAGCUCGUGGGAAUGCGCGCCUGGAUGCUGGGUGUCACCACAAGCACAUGGUUGAUGUUGGGACACAUUACAUCUCUCACACAGCCAGUUGCCAGCUUGCCAAGACUUUGGGGUGGGCACAGGGGCCUGGUGAGGCUGCUGCUGGGUCCCAAGAGGUCACUGUGUACCAGCUGCAGGUGUGGCAUGUUGAAGAAUUUGCCCAUGCCAGGUGUACCAGAGAGGAGCACAUCUUCUUAAGACAGGGAACAGCUGACGGCUCCUUGGAAAGGCUCCCCUGCUUACAGAGGCCAGGUGUGUCCCCCACCCCCCCCACCCCCGUCAAAGUUUUUAUGAAUUAUUUUACUGCAAUGCUUACUGAAUUGACUAGAACAUAUAACAUCAUAUUGGACUAUAAUGCAAACAGCAGAAAUCCAUGAUAUUCAUUGUAUAAACUGAACUGAUUUUGUAUUUCACCAUUUAGAAUAUUUUCUGUUUGUGUUUGACAAGUAGAUUUUUCAAGUCAUCAAAUGGCUACAACUUUUUAAUUCUUUCAGAGUUCCUACUUAGAGUGACUAUUAGGUUUUCCAAAUGCUUCUUAAGGAUCUAUUGAUAGGACCAUAUUGUUAUGUUUUAAAUUAUUUUAGUAGAUUUUAUAGUAUCAAACCAUCCUUGCAAUGUAUGAGCAGAUCCAAGCUGGCUGCAGUAUAUUAAUCUAUGCAAAUAGUCUUGAAUUGUAUUUUCUAUAUUUUUAUUCAUAACUUUUAUCUGUAAUCAUACAUAAUGUUGUUUGAGAUUUUUAAAUAUUAUCUAUUUGUAAAACAAUUAUUUUGACCAGAACUCUGUAUUAAAAUUACUCUAGCUUCAUGACUGACCCAGUAGGGAGGCUUUUCUCUUUUCAUGUGAUUGGAAUUGACAGUUUAAAGAGCAGUGAAACCAUCUGGCCUCUAGGGCUGGGCUUUGCUCAGUGCUGGAAUCCUCUGGAUGUGGACUUACAACACCAGCUCCUCCGACGCCUUCCCAAGACUGCAACUCAGCCUCUGUACACUCUCUGCUUCAUCUUGGAUCAGUUAUUGCAACUCACAUUUGGUUAGUAGUUAAACAUUCCCCCAGGUUUUCAAAUUUGUUAUUAAAAGGUUGUAUAACCGCCUAAUGUAUUAUAUGUAAUGCACUGUAUUUACUUAUGCAUGAUGUCAUGUAUUAAUAUCAUUAUGUCCUAGUACAUUUGAUAGGUCAAAUGUUAUAUAUAUUUGUAUAAUUGUAUAUUACACAUAUGUUUUGUCUCCUCCCUUGUUCUAAUCAUGCAUUUUUCCCUUCAAUCUUUAUUUUAAAAUUUUAUCAUAAACAAAUUUACAAGGGGUUUGUCUAGUAUACUGGUAUUUUCACAAACUAGCUCUUGGGUUUAUUAUUCAUUCUUUUAUUUUUGCCAUUGUUUUAAAAUUAUUAUUAUGCUCAUUUUUUUCUUCACUAAUUUCCUCUUCCUGCUUUCUUUUGGUUUAUUUUAAUUGUUUCCCUAGUUUUCUAUAAUAUAAAGUUUCAUUAUUUUUAAUAUCUCUUUUUUAAUGCAAGCUUUUAAGUUUCUUCAUAUUUCUCUAGGUAAAAUUUAUGCAAUAUUUUAGCUUUGAUGACCUCCUUAUUCCAAAAUUUCUCUAGGGGUAUAUUUCUUAAUUUUUAAGUGUGAAUUUUAUAACGUUUUUAAUGUAUUUUAUAAUGAUAAGAAAUCCUUUCUUUGUUCUAUCAACUUACAAAAUAAUUUUUAUUAUCUAUUUGACAGAUUAUGGAUUCAUAGAUUUCAUUAUGGUUUUAAUUUUGGUCUGUAACUUGUAACUGACUUAGAGAAGGGAAGGAUAUACUAAAAUCUCCCCAGAAUAUAACAUUUUAAUAUAAUUCUUCUAUUCCUAAUAGGUUUUGCUUCAUAUCUUUAACUGCUCUUUUGUGUGCAUACAAAGAUCUAUGAGCCUUUUGCUUGCCUGGGUUGUCUGAGAAGCAGACAUCGGGAUGGGACUGAAUGUGGUGGAAUCUUCCGUGGGAGGUCAACGUAAAGGAACCGGGAGAGGCUGGGGAGGUGUCGCCCGUAGUACAGCUCUGACUCCAAGUACGGGGUUGCUGGGGGAAGGCAGGUGGAGACAGAGCAUCUUGGACGGCAGGCCUCAUAAGAGUCCAUCAAGGCUGUCAGCAGGCCAGGACCAUGGCUGGCUGUCCUGGAAUGCGUGCCCUCCAGGAAGGCUGGCUGGUACUGUGCUGCUCUCCUCCCUGCCUAGGAGGAGCCACCUGGCAGCCACAGCCUGACACGGGGUGCCGGGAGCAGCAGCCAUGUGCUGGUCAUAUGUGCUCCCUGUGGUUGAAAUCAGGUGGUGUGUCCAAUGACACAUGCAUCCAUGUGCCUUCUUCAAAGAGAAGCACGACCUCUGUUAUUAGCCCAGUAUUUUAGCAUUUUCCAAAGCUAUUAGCUCUUGGGAUCUUUUCUCCUACAGAAUAUGGGCAGCACAUUCUAAGAAAUGCUCUUCUCAUUGCUCAUCCUUUGACAGUGCCCUUGUCAUGUCUGAAAUAUUUCACCAACGAUAUCUAUGAAGACAGAGACAACACUUAUGUCAAAUUUGCAGCUGACACUGAAAAAAAAGGAAAAAUAAA